CCCUUAGAUGUCCUGGGCUGCACGCGCGCUACACUGAUGUGUCCAGUAAGCACCUAACCUCUUCCGAAAGGAACGGGUAACCUUUGCAAAGCACAUCGUGAUGGGGAUAGAUUAUUGCAAUUAUUAGUCUUGAACGAGGAAUUCCUAGUAAGCACAAGUCAUCAGCUUGUGUUGAUUACGUCCCUGCCCUUUGUACACACCGCCCGUCGCUCCUACCGAUGGGUGAUCCGGUGAAUGAUUCGGACUUCAGCGGCUCCCCUGGGGUGCGCCGGAGAAAGUUUUGUGAACCUUAUCACUUGGAGGAAGGAGAAGUCGUAACA
rnacentral:rRNA from 1 species